rnacentral:rRNA from 1 species
GACGAACGCUGGCGGCGUGCUUAACACAUGCAAGUCGAACGCUGAAGCUUGGUGCUUGCACUGGGUGGAUGAGUGGCGAACGGGUGAGUAAUACGUGAGUAACCUGCCCUUGACUCUGGGAUAAGCCUGGGAAACUGGGUCUAAUACUGGAUACGACAUGUCACCGCAUGGUGGUGUGUGGAAAGGGUUUUACUGGUUUUGGAUGGGCUCACGGCCUAUCAGCUUGUUGGUGGGGUAAUGGCUCACCAAGGCGACGACGGGUAGCCGGCCUGAGAGGGUGACCGGCCACACUGGGACUGAGACACGGCCCAGACUCCUACGGGAGGCAGCAGUGGGGAAUAUUGCACAAUGGGCGGAAGCCUGAUGCAGCGACGCUGCGUGAGGGAUGACGGCCUUCGGGUUGUAAACCUCUUUCAGCACGGAAGAAGCGAAAGUGACGGUACGUGCAGAAGAAGCGCCGGCUAACUACGUG